AUUGAACGCUGGCGGCAGGCCUAACACAUGCAAGUCGAACGAGUGGCGGACGGGUGAGUAAUGUCUGGGAAACUGCCCGAUGGAGGGGGAUCACUACUGGAAACGGUAGCUAAUACCGCAUACCAUCGGUUGUGCCCAGAUGGGAUUAUCUAGUAGGGGGGGUAAUGGCUCACCUAGGCGACGAGCCCGAGCUGGUCUGAGAGGAUGACCAGACACACGGGAUGUGAGACACGGUCCAGACUCCUACGGGGGGCAGCAGUGGGGAAUAUUGCAAAAGGGGCGAAAGGCUGAUGCAGCCAUGCCGGGUGUAUGAAGAAGGCUUGGGGUUUGUAAAGUACUUUCAGCGAGGAGACGUUACUCGAAGAAGAAGCACCGGCUAACAACGUGCCAGAAGCGGGGUUAAUA
rnacentral:rRNA from 1 species